UGUAUGUAUGUAUGUAUGUAUGUAUGUAUGUAUGUGUGUAUGUGUGCGUGUGUGCGUGUGCGUGUGUGGGUGUGUGCGUGUGCGUGUGCGUGUGUGCGUGUGUGUGCGUGUGUGCGUGCGUGUGUGUGUGCGUGUGUGCGUGUGUGUGCGUGUGUGUGGGUGUGUGGGUGUGUGUGUGUGUGUGGGUGUGUGCGUGUGUGUGGGUGUGUGCGUGGGUGUGUGCGUGUGCGUGUGUGCGUGUGCGUGUGUGGGUGUGUGUGGGUGUGUGCGUGGGUGUGCGUGUGUGCGUGUGCGUGUGUGUGCGUGUGUGCGUGUGCGUGUGUGUGUGUGCGUGUGUGUGCGUGUGUGCGUGUGUGCGUGUGUGUGUGUGUGUGUGGGUGUGUGCGUGUGUGUGGGUGUGUGCGUGGGUGUGUGCGUGUGCGUGUGUGUGGGUGUGUGCGUGGGUGUGUGCGUGGGUGUGUGCGUGUGCGUGUGUGCGUGUGUGCGUGUGUGUGUGUGCGUGUGCGUGUGUGUGUGUGCAUGGCAUUCAGAAAAAUAUCCAUCAUGUAUUUUUCUUUAUUUAUUACUUUCCUUUCACUCAUUUGUUUCUCUUUAAGACAUUUUAACAUUUUUAUCCCUUUAAGGGCAUUUUAAAAUAAUUAUGCUUUUCCUUAAUGUGUCUCGUCGACUUAUGUUCCCUUUCUUCUAACUCACGAAAGGAGACUGGCACUAAUCCUUUCUUUAUUGGCCAACAAUAGAGGAGAGAUAAAGACGGGGACUAGAAAGAGAGGUGAAGAGAGAGGGAGGGAACAAGGGGGAAGACGGGGACUAGAAAGAGAGGUGAAGAGAGAGGGAGGGAACAAGGGGGAAGACGGGGACUAGAAAGAGAGGUGAAGAGAGAGGGAGGGAACAAGGGGGAAGACGGGGACUAGAAAGAGAGGUGAAGAGAGAGGGAGGGAACAAGGGGGAAGACGGGGACUAGAAAGAGAGGUGAAGAGAGAGGGAGGGAACAAGGGGGAAGACGGGGACUAGAAAGAGAGGUGAAGAGAGAGGGAGGGAACAAGGGGGAAGACGGGGACUAGAAAGAGAGGUGAAGAGAGAGGGAGGGAACAAGGGGGAAGACGGGGACUAGAAAGAGAGGUGAAGAGAGAGGGAGGGAACAAGGGGGAAGACGGGGACUAGAAAGAGAGGUGAAGAGAGAGGGAGGGAGAGAACAAGGGGGAAGACGGGGACUAGAAAGAGAGGUGAAGAGAGAGGGAGGGAGAGAACAAGGGGGAAGACGGGGACUAGAAAGAGAGGUGAAGAGAGAGGGAGGGAGAGAACAAGGGGGAAGACGGGGACUAGAAAGAGAGGUGAAGAGAGAGGGAGGGAACAAGGGGGAAGACGGGGACUAGAAAGAGAGGUGAAGAGAGAGGGAGGGAGAGAACAAGGGGGAAGACGGGGACUAGAAAGAGAGGUGAAGAGAGAGGGAGGGAACAAGGGGGAAGACGGGGACUAGAAAGAGAGGUGAAGAGAGAGGGAGGGAACAAGGGGGAAGACGGGGACUAGAAAGAGAGGUGAAGAGAGAGGGAGGGAGAGAACAAGGGGG